UCCAGAUCUCCAAAUCUGGAGAAAAUGUUUCAAACCCCACACACAGUCCUAAAUCCCAUAUCUCCUAAAAUUUAUUUCCCCCCAAAUUUUCAACACCCAGCCUACGAAUCCAACCUCUGCCCUUGUCCUGGUGAAUCGUCAAGAGCCGCGAACCACUCCGCCAUGGACCAUCUCGCAAGACAUCCAAUCCCUCACCGAAGUUGUGCCUGAAGGUUGUACAUCAGUCAGUGGCAUGCAAUGAAGUUCGUGGACAACACAGCUGCGAGCUCACGAGCGUUUCCUUUCCGAGGAAUUGCCGCCCCUCGGUGAUGUUCUGUCGCACUGGAAGAAUGAUAUAGGAUGAAAGAAUCAUGGACAAAGAAACAAUCUGAAGGUGAUUCUGAGAUUUCAGCAUGGGUUAGUAAAAGUGGCAAAGUUAGAGAAGAAUAGAGCAUUGUAGCUCUCAAAGAUUUUUGAGGAGCAGAUGGAAUUAUAUUGAAAUAGGUGGCAAGAUAAAAGACAUGGAUUGCGUGGAAGCUUUUGGAACUAGUGUGACAACAUGGGCGCGAAGAACAAUGGAAAAAUGCAAACGCAGAAGUUGAAGAUGUCCACAUACAUGAUGUGCGAGAUUCUGGACCAAAUUGGAGCUAUAAAAGAAAUAUGUGAAGCACUUUUGUUGAGAGUAUGGAGCGUAGUGUUGUUAGUUUGAACAUGUUUUUGUCUUUUUUUGUUUGUUUUUUUGGUAUAUAGAUUCAAGUUUAAUUUUAAGGAGCCUAGUAUAGAUAUAAUACUUUUUGGAUAUGUAAAUAGGUCUGAUAUAUCAUAUUUGGAAUUAAUUUGUAAUACAUAUGAUUAUUAUGAAUAUAUUGUAGUUAUAUUAUAGA